UACGGGGGGGGCAAGCGUUGUUCGGAAUUACUGGGCGUAAAGGGUUUGUAGGUGGCUUGCUAAGUCAGACGUGAAAUCCCUCAGCUUAACUGGGGAACUGCGUCUGAGACUGGCAGGCUUGAGUGCAGGAGAGGAACGCGGAAUUCCAGGUGUAGCGGUGAAAUGCGUAGAUAUCUGGAGGAAUACCGGUGGCGAAGGCGGCGUUCUGGACCAUUACUGACACUGAAUCGCGAAAGCUAGGGGAGCAAACGGG
rnacentral:rRNA from 1 species